rnacentral:lncRNA from 1 species
GUUGGUCCUGGGAAUUGAACUACUAUACUGACUAAGCCCUUUGGCUAGCCUCUCAUUUAACAUAUUUGAAAGAUAUCUUUGAGAGGAGUGUUACUUAGAAAAAAGUUAAGGGUUUUUGGUCUAGUUGUGGUUUAGGGUAGGAAAGAGGUGAUUAAAGAGGAGGAGACAUCUAUGUAAGCAAAACCAUCUGAUGCCAGAUGAUUUCUGGUCUGCUAGGCUGAGCAAAGUCUAAGAUGUAGUGGAAAUGUUAAAAAAAAAAAAAGUACCCCCUUGACAUGGAGACUUAAGAAUGAGUUUUUUUCCACUUCAGUAAUCUAUCUAUAUAUAUAUAUAUUAAAUACACUCUCUUACUCUCUACAUUGUUCUCUGGAUCACAGGCUUACUACUCUUCUUUUAAAUUAGACCACACAGUAGAAAAAUCACCUAAGCUGGAGUUCAGCAUAGAAAGGCUCUUCAAAGUCAAACCUCUUAACCUGGCAGAGAUGGCAAGACUUUCUCAAGUUAGCAAUCUGUUAACCUGAAAUUGUGGUUUCAUUUCUCAAUAAAGGGUUACACACUUUAGAAAGAAAACAAUUUUAACUUACUUUGUAAUUGUGAAGAUAUUUAGGAUCAUAGAGCCUUUGUGUAUUUACGGGCAUGACAUUUGUGUGUCUGUGUGUGUGUAUGUGGUAUGUGCAUGCAUGCGUGUGUGGUUUUGUGUGUGUGUGUAUGUGUGUGUGUGUGUAAUAUGUGUUCAUAUGUGUGUGUUCAGGAUAUAUGUGCUACAGAACAUACAGAUUAUACAGGACCUAAUGUAGGUCAAAGGGAAACCUUGCCUUCGAUCUUCUCUGAGAUAAUGUCUCUCUGUUUUUCACUGAUGGGAGGCAAAGUUCCCAGCAUUCUCCCACCCGGACCUUUCGCCUCUCUCUAAAGAAAGGCCUGGAUUACAGAUAGGUGCUGUGGUGCCCAGCUUUCACAUGGGUCCCAGGGAUUCAAACUCAUAUUAUCCUGCUCAUAUGACAAGUGCUCUGCUCACUAAGACAUCUCCCCUGCCUCCUAUCUAUGACAUUUCAGAGCCUGAAUGUCUUGAGUUAAAAGCUUACCUGACAAAAUAUGACUGAACGAUGGGAAGAAAAAAUGUUCAAUUUCAUUGAUCCUGUCCCUUGACCUAUGAAGCAGGACCAGUGGUAGAAUUAAAAUUAAAGUAGUUCAAAUUAGACAGUAUAGUUAAAUAAUAUAUUUAAAAUUAAAUAAUAUACUAUAGUUUGAUAAAAAUUAUGCAUUUAACACUUUUGUCAUUAUAGCUGACAACAUAAAAUUCCAAUGAAUAUUAGGCUUUGCUAGAGUAUUGGUUACUAUUGGUUAGAUUUUCAGUUUGUUUCUAGAAAUAUCUCUAUUUCUCUUUCCUUGCUCAGACAGUUUAAGACUUUGAAUAUUAUAUCUAGAAGAUUAUUUUAAUUGUGUCCAAAUCAGCAACUUCUGCUUUGGGUAGUGCCUUUUUAUGUCUCUUUUAGGGAGAGUAAAUUUUCUAUCCUGGUUCCAUGUGUAGAUGCUUUAUAGCUACGCCUUUCCUUGCUUGUCCCCAUCAAGGUGUGAGUGUGUGGGACUCCAUGUGAGAGUAGGUCCUCUCCCAAGUGAUUUCCUUAGGAACCCAUGACAGUUCCCUCCAUCAGGUGAUCUUACGUGUCUAUCUCCCUAUGGCAUUUUGCGGUACACAAUGACAACAUGAUAGAGUGAUUCAUGGCCCUCAGCUCAGCAUUGGAUCCAGGUUGAGAGCUGCCAAGGCUUUACAUCCAUCAGCAUUCAGCCUUCUCUUGGAGAUAUAUGCCUGGUUCUCAGGUACUCUGGAGUGAGGGAGGAACAGUUCCCUCUUCUGUGUGUUGUGAUCAUCAGAGCCACUGUGGAGAAGUUCGAUUAGCUUUCCAUUCUUCAGUGCUAGUGAAUGAUGAAAGCCAGUCAAAGGGAGCAAACUCUAUAGUGUGUGAAAAAGGGAGUAAGACAGAUUUCAGACUUUCUAGGCUACCUUUCUCCUGGAGAGUCUUCUGAGGUUUCUCUCCCUUGCCUUUCAAGUGGAAGGAAACAAGUAAUUACACAUGGGCAUGCUCUGUGAACUCAGGCUUCACACACAGCAAGGACUUCGCAUUGCAUGUUUGCUGUAUCAGUUACAUGUAUCAUUACAUUACAGGAGCUUGGGUUUUAAUUAAGACUCGACUCUCAGGCAGUCUGUGCCUUAGCUUUGUCCUUGAAACACACAAGGAGGCUGCUGGAGGAAAGAAAGGUCUCUUUCAGACUAACCAAAAACUGUGAACAGAACCUGUGAAGGACAGCCUUAAAGAAUCCCAUGUUGGUGGAUUUAGACACAACAAAGAAAAGAUGUUUCUAGGUGGUGUUUAAUUUGUAUCUGUUACCUGGAAAAGUUCUCUUCUUGUGACACGUUCUUCAAUUUCCAUUUCAUUUAUUUGUUGUAUCUUUUGAUUUCCAUUCCCAGGUAGCAUUUAGCCUAUACUGUCCAUUGCUCAAUUUGUGUCUGUUCCCAUAAAUAUUGGUAAAUGUAACCCUUUCAUGACAACUAGGGAACUCCUUUAUUUUAAAUGCUAGAAAGCUGUAAGUGGAGCUUUGAAUUGGGGUAAUAUCUAUUUUGGGACAAUGACAACUCUGGAGACCGUCAUAUAACAUUUAUUAAGUCGAUGUGUGCACAGAAAUUAAUUGUUUUAAUCACUACUUUUACUGAAACAAGUGAAACAUACCAGAGUGGCCUACAUUUCAAAAAUGUGACUACAGAGAUUUUAAUAUUUUAUUCCAUGGUGAAUUUUAAAACUAUUCACACAUUGGAGAUUUUCUCUCAGAUAGAGUAUGAAAAUCAAAUAGGAUUCAUUUGAAGGGCCAUAGAUGAAUCUCCAUUAUUGGAAUUCUGGCCAUGGCAGUACUUUUCAGUAUGAUGCAGAUGCAAAGCAGGUGACUUUGAGCUUUGGCCACUCCAUUUCCUUUUUCUUUAAAAUAGAGUGAGAGUUUCCAUCCUCUUUUACUUAUGGCACUAAAAUAAACUGAGGAUUUUGAAAACACCCUGGAAACAGCAAGACAGCAUUAUUUUUACAAAAAAUUAGAAAUGUGUACAUAGUGUCUUCAAGAACUGGCAUAAAUAUCAUAAAACUAAAAGGUGUACAAUAUUAGAAUUGGGAAAACACUGAAUGAAAAUUGAACUAUCUGUCAAAUGUAGAUGGGCUCUGAUAUUUUUGAUAUAAAAUUUUUUCAUAUAAUGUCUUUUGAUUAUUCCCCACAUUUUCCUAGGUCCUACCUCCCUACUUAUCAACCUUCAUGCCUUUCUCUCUCUCUCUCUCUCAAAUACAAAAAUAUCAAAGCAAGCAAGCAAACAGACACACAAGUGCACACACAUACACUCAUGCACACACACAUAUGCCCACAUUACAAAAUAGAAGAGUGGUAGUGGUAGUAUAUGGUUAAAGGAAAGUAUUACUGAAAAUCACAUAAGUUGAAAUCUUAUUUCAACUAUUAACCCUUCAAUCUAUUAACCCUUCAAUCUUGUCUUAUACUGUGCUAUGAAGUUGCCUUGGUUUUUCACCAAGUGACUGCCGGUGGUGGGUUUCCUCAGCUGAACAUGUCAUAGUACACCUGUCUAAUAUAGCAUUCUGGUAUUCUGUUUUCAGGAAAAGGUAGAUUCUGGCUUUUCUUCCCCUAGAGGAAAAGGUAUUUAAAAGCUGUGUCCUCCAUUCCCUCCUAGGGAGGAGGGAUUUCUUUAGUACUCAGCAGGCAAUUUUCCUACUUCUUCCCAUGGUGAAAGUAAUGAGGAACCUGGCUGAUAAUUGUUAUUCUAGGUAGUGUAAGGAUAGCAGAUUUGCUCACAGGAUAUUGUGUAUACAGAUAGACACUGUAAUCAUGGCAGAGCAAAUUACCAUAGUCUGUAAGAGAAUUACACAGAGAGCAAGAAACACAGAUGCAAAAGGCUCUGUCCCAGAAAUGAGGAGAGAGGCAAGAAAUCAGAGCAAGACAUUGUACAUUCCAUUUAGAGCAAAGAACAAGGGCAGCAGCAUGGGAAGGCCUUUAGUAUAACUACAGAGUAAAGCAAGGAGAGAGACAAAGCAUACCCCUCAGUAAUGUUAUUAUGUCUGCAAUUGCUUCAGCAGGAUUGACUGCUUUUUAAAAUAUCUAGUGGAAGGAAGAACACGUUUAAUAGACUAUUAAGAAAUAGGCUUUAAAAAGCAUGUAUCGAUUAAAACAAAAGUUAAAUUUUGGAAUAUUUACUAUAUACAAGUCAUCAAACAGCACUGACCUAAAUAUACGAGUAUUACUGGAAUUUGUUAGCGUGCAUAUUUAUUGAGUCAGUCUAUUUUUGUAGGAUAAUUAUACUAGAUCCAGUAGGCUAGGAUCAGAAACUUUUAUGAAAAAUAAGAAGGAGGAGAAGGGGAAGGGGAAGGGAAAGGGAAAGGGGAAGAAGAAGAAGAAGAAGAAGAAGAAGAAGAAGAAGAAGAAGAAGAAGAAGAAGAAGAAGAAGAAAUCUCUUGAUUAAAUUAGUUAUUUCAAAUUGACAUGAUCUUACUUGAGUAAUACUUCCUGAAAGCAAAUACUAAUCUAGGUAGAAUGUAUGUGAUGUAGCUCAUAGAGAAAUCUAAAAAUAAAGCAUCAUGACUCUUUUAAAAAUUGUCCUGAAAGGCAUCGUCAUCUAUAUUGAUACCGAGUGGCAUGGGUUCCCUUCAUAUGUGGUUCUGAGGUCAGCAGGAAAAGGAAGUAAUGAUAAUGACAAUAACAUUAGCCCUUAUCUAUGUCAAACACAGUAUAUAUAACUACAGUAAGUAAUAACUGGAAUAUCUUUUAUUUUUCUUGAAGUCAGACAGCUAUGGAAGUUGACAUCAAGUUUUUAGAUGCAGAAGUGAAGUUCCAAGAACUGGAAGAAUUUACUGUGCAUCCCAUAGCUCACUGAUAAAGAAUACAGCAGGCUUUUUACCCCAACCAUCUCAACAUAAUAUUUCUUUAAGUUCUGUUAAUAACCAGUUAUUAAGAUAUUAUUUGCAUGCAUUUUGUUAUCUUACUGGGGUGCACAUCACAGGUUUUCAACUGGGGCAGCAUCUUCAAGUUCUUAUGUCAAGGGCCUACCAUUGGCUAUUGUAAUUCAAAACCUCAGGAGACCUGGGGCAGACUUUGGCUGCAAUCUUUUGAAAAUAUAAACAUCAGUCUAUAUAAAUGUAAUAUAAACAUCAUUUUUUAAUGUCUCAGGAGAGUCUAGGAGUCUGGUUUCUAAACCAAUGCAUUUAAUAUUCGAUGUAACAAUCUAUACAUUUGUACCAUUCCUAUUUAUGAGGACUGAGUGAUUAAAUGCUGAAGCUGACAUGCUCCAUCAAGGUCACAUAUCCAGUAAACAGCUAAGGUGGUUGAUAAAUGCACAACUGUCUGGCUCAGAAGUCCACAUUCUCCCUGAUGCUUCAAUCUAGUGUCUAGCCAUUUUACUGGUGCGAUGAAUCUCUUCUUCCUAUUACUUGGUGUAUAUUGCAGAACUUAGUUAGCUUUGACCUCAAUCUUGUUGUAUUGGCUAGUAAAAAUCCACAAACAGAGCCAGUUAACAGACUGUUUUAAACAACUGUCCCAGAUAGAGCACCGUGUUAGUUUUGUUUUGUUUUGUUUGAUUGUUUGUUUGUUUUUUGUUUUUGAGAACAAACAGGACAAGUAUCCCACAUUCCUAUCUCAGUGAUCUUUUUCUUUGUGUAAGGGCUCAGACUAGGAAUCUUCAAUCUUGUCCAAUGGAUAGCUCAUGAAAUCUCAUGAAUUGUUGUGAGGCACCUGCAGUUUAUAUCCUAUUGUAUGACAAAUAGCCACAAGCCAAAGAUCUGAAGACCAUGCAAGCUCCCUUUUACGUAAGAGGUAUGACCCAGCAGUGGUCUUACUUUCUCUUGAACUUUCUUCACAAGACAAAGGAGAACCCUUGUGAUCUGCUUUUGAGUUUUAUAUUCUUUCAAAAACCAUUUUUAUGUUUGAAGCCAUUACUUUUGGUUGGUUUUCUAACCCCAAGAAUUAAAAACAAAAGCUCUUGGCAACUAUAUCUAGGGAAGACUGUUCCAUCUUGUGUGCAUGCAUUUUAAAAAUGUAGUAUCAAUAUAAAAGAGUACAAUUUCAUUCAUGGUUCGGAAACUAAACCUCAACAAAGAUUUUGUUCUAGCAAUAAAACACAACUGAGGAAACUAAUAACAUGAGGGAAUACCUUAAAGAAUUAUAUUCACUUGCACAAUUCCAUUACAAGUAAACCUGCAUGCAUACAUUCAAACUAAAUGCAUAUAUGCUAUAUUCAUGCAAUGCUCUUGAUUUGUAUGGACAGCAAUAUUCUGAUACGUACUAUAAUAUUGACUUCUUUAUUCCAUAAUAUUUUUAUUGGAUAUAAUACACAAUUUUAAAUAUAGUAACUAUCCUAAUAUUGAUU